rnacentral:lncRNA from 1 species
CGGAACUUUUCAAGACAUCCUAGCCACGCGUGUUUUCAUCAGCCAUAUGUCCAAACAGCUGUAUUCUCAACCAGCUAAUCAUGAUUUCAACCCCAUUCAUUUCAAAAACAAAACAAUCCAGCCUCAGCCUCAUUUCAAAACAAACUUAAACAUAUCCAACAAGCAAGCAUCACUUGAAAAAAAAACUCAGUUUCAAUAAAUUCACCUAAACAAAAUUUAUUUUUAACCCUAAAACUAACUUCAUAUAAUGUAUCCUUUCAUUUUAUCAGUGAAAUAUAAUCAAGGGUAGAGAAUAGAACAAAAAACAUUAGAGUGACACACACCGAAAAGAAGACGGCGGUAGCAGUGCGCGUUUGACGGUGGUUAUCGGCGAUUACCGGCGGAAGUGACGGUGACUUCUAUUUCUCUCCUUUUCUAUUUUUUAUAUUUCUAAAUAUAUAUGAUUUUAAGGAUGGAGCUGAGUUGUUGCUCCUUCUACGCUCAACUAAUUUUGUUUCAUAACCUCUCUUUAAAAAAAAUUAUCUUUUCCCUUCUUCUCUUUCUUUCAAACCAAAACUCUCUUCUUUAGACGUGUUUCUUAUCAUUCAAAUUUUUCCUCUCUCAUAAAAAAAAAAGAGGGAUGUAUUUAUAGAGUUUUUUUAUCUAUUGAGUUGCUUUCUUGCUUGCCUUUGUCCUUCUCCAUCAAUUUCUUAUUUGAUGUUUCGUUUCUUUUGCUCAUCAUCUGCGUUUUUUUUCUGCAUCUGAUGCAUUCAUGGUUUUAGUCUAUGCUUGUCUUUAUAUGUUCUUUUGCUGAGCUUUUAUUUGUCCCUUAGUUUAUUUUUUUUAAACUCAAAAUUUUGUCUUUUAGUUUUUACCAUGUAUACUAAGACUGACUAGUAAAAAUUAUGCUUUUCUGUUUCUAUAAUUAGUUACAAAGCAAAGGCUAGUGUCUCAACCAUGAUAUUGCAUCAGAGAUAGAAAGGCUGCAAUAAGGACAACAACAAGACAAAGUCAAAGCAGGCUGGUUUAAACUGAUUUGGUUUAAAUUCUAUUGUAAUAUAAUUUGGCUUUAUUUUUAAUUUGUAAUUUGAUUUGAAAUUGUAAAUUUAUGAGACAUAAUGAAAUUAAUUAUUG